AUUGAACGCUGGCGGCAUGCUUUACACAUGCAAGUCGAACGGUAACAGGCCGCGAGGUGCUGACGAGUGGCGAACGGGUGAGUAAUGCAUCGGAACGUGCCCAGUCGUGGGGGAUAACGCAGCGAAAGCUGCGCUAAUACCGCAUACGAUCUAUGGAUGAAAGCGGGGGACCGAAAGGCCUCGCGCGAUUGGAGCGGCCGAUGUCAGAUUAGGUAGUGGGGGGGGUAAAGGCCCACCAAGCCAAAGAUCUGGAGCUGGUCUGAGAGGACGACCAGACACACUGGGACUGGGACACGGCACAGACGCCUACGGGAGGCAGCAGUGGGUAAUAUUGGACAGUGGGCGCAGGCCUGAUCCAGCAAUGCCGCGUGCAGGGAGAAGGCGUUCGGGUUGUAAACUGCUUUUGUACGGAACGAAACGGUCCGGGUUGAUACCCUGGGCUAAUGACGGUACCGUAAGAAUAAGCACCGGCUAACUACGUGCCAGCCGCCGCCGUAACAC
rnacentral:rRNA from 1 species